AACUGGCAGACGAGUCCCAAAUAGGACAAAAUGCGCAUCCUGGUU
rfam:Trichobilharzia regenti genome assembly, scaffold: TRE_scaffold0033491